GAGGAGCUCCGUGAACACCAGGCCUUGCUGGAUGAGCCCUACCUAGAUCGGCUCCCUGGGCAGAAGGAGCCCUCCUUAGCUGGUGUGCAGGUGAAGCAGGAGCCCAUCGAGAGUGAGGAGGAAGAAGUAGAGGCCACUCGAGAGGCGGAACCCAGCCAGCGCCCAGCCACUGAACAGGAGCUUCUCUUUAGACAGGUGUGGAAUGAGGAGAGCAGGCAGCUUGACCUUCAGCCUCUCCUGGCCUCUGAAUCACAGACAGUCGCUUUUUGACCCUAGCCAUCUAUCUUACUGCCCUCAUGGGAGGAAGGGUGUAUUUGUUGUACACUCUCAGGUACAUGCACAUCGACAUCUGCCCUCUGAAGGAGUGCAUACACCGUCUCCAUCAUGUGGCCUGCACUUUUUCCUCUGGUAUGGGAGGCUGUAGAUUGUAACCCCAAAACAAGUGUUGGUGAUCAACCACUAGAACCAGAGCAAAGUAGGGGAGUUGAGGUAUAUUCAAAAAGGAGCUGACUUAGGGGUUGGGGACUUAGCUUAGUGGUAGACCGCUUGCCUAGCAAGUGCAAGGCCCUGGGUUCGGUCCCCACCUCCAAAA
rnacentral:lncRNA from 1 species